rnacentral:rRNA from 1 species
UACGAAGGGGGCUAGCGUUGCUCGGAAUUACUGGGCGUAAAGGGCGCGUAGGCGGCACUGUUAGUCAGGCGUGAAAUUCCUGGGCUCAACCUGGGGACUGCGCUUGAUACGGCAGAGCUUGAGGAUGGAAGAGGGUCGCGGAAUUCCCAGUGUAGAGGUAAAAUUCGUAGAUAUUGGGAAGAACACCGGUGGCGAAGGCGGCGACCUGGUCCAUUACUGACGCUGAGGCGCGACAGCGUGGGGAGCAAACAGG